rnacentral:rRNA from 1 species
GACGAACGCUGGCGGCGUGCUUAACACAUGCAAGUCGAACGGAAAGGCCCUGCUUUUGUGGGGUGCUCGAGUGGCGAACGGGUGAGUAACACGUGAGUAACCUGCCCUUGACUUUGGGAUAACUUCAGGAAACUGGGGCUAAUACCGGAUAGGAGCUCCUGCUGCAUGGUGGGGGUUGGAAAGUUUCGGCGGUUGGGGAUGGACUCGCGGCUUAUCAGCUUGUUGGUGGGGUAGUGGCUUACCAAGGCUUUGACGGGUAGCCGGCCUGAGAGGGUGACCGGCCACAUUGGGACUGAGAUACGGCCCAGACUCCUACGGGAGGCAGAAGUGGGGAAUAUUGAACAAGGGGCGGAAGACUGAUGCAGCAACGCCGCGUGCGGGAUGACGGCCUUCGGGUUGUAAACCGCUUUCGCCUGUGACGAAGCGUGAGUGACGGUAAUGGGUAAAGAAGCACCGGCUAACUACGUG